AGUGAACGCUGGCGGUAGGCCUAACACAUGCCAGUCGAACGGCAGCACAGUAAGAGCUUGCUCUUACGGGUGGCGAGUGGCGGACGGGUGAGGAAUACAUCGGAAUCUACUUUUUCGUGGGGGAUAACGUAGGGAAACUUACGCUAAUACCGCAUACGACCUACGGGUGAAAGCAGGGGAUCUUCGGACCUUGCGCGAUUGAAUGAGCCGAUGUCGGAUUAGCUAGUUGCGGGGUAAAGGCCCACCAAGGCGACGAUCCGUAGCUGGUCUGAGAGGAUGAUCAGCCACACUGGAACUGAGACACGGUCCAGACUCCUACGGGAGGCAGCAGUGGGGAAUAUUGGACAAUGGGCGCAAGCCUGAUCCAGCCAUACCGCGUGGGUGAAGAAGGCCUUCGGGUUGUAAAGCCCUUUUGUUGGGAAAGAAAAGCAGCAGGUUAAUACCCCGCUGUUCUGACGGUACCCAAAGAAUAAGCACCGGCUAACUUCGUG
rnacentral:rRNA from 1 species